rnacentral:lncRNA from 1 species
AAUUACUGUUUUCUUUUCCUUGGUCAUAUUUUCCUUCUAAUAUCCUUGUUUUCUAACAUCUAAGAGAAUCACAUUGAACUUGCGGCCUUGUUGCUAGGUUUCAAGCUGAUUUUAUGCAGUCUACUGAGACACUAUUUUCGUUUUUGAAUUCUGAAUCAAGUCCCAAGGCAACAGGGCCCUGUUUCUUAGCAACACAGAUGGGCAGACCAUAUAUUCCAGUGCUUUUGUGCAAGGGAAGAAUAAACAUCUCCCUGAAUAAGGGUGUGCUGCAAGUUGAUCUCUUUGCUUAACUUCCCCUAGAACAGAGGAACGAGAGGCAUUCUGUGAUACAUCACAUGAAGUUUGUCAGGAAGUCCCUGUUUUUGCAAGUCGGUUACUUUGCAGAACUGAGACACAGAGGGAAUCAAGAAGCAAUAGUUCUUCAUCUAAGCACAGUAUGCAACAGAUUUACCACAUCUUGUGUCAAGUUACUCCAGAGAUCCUUUAAAUGUGAAGUUAAAAUCACAUCCUUCCAACAGAGAUGGGAGAAAGGAGGCAAAGAUCUACUCAAUGAAUUGUUCUAA